GUGAAAAGUGCAGAUUUGGAGUCUGAGGCAGACUUUGGGGUCUGGGGGGAGGUUUUGGGAGGAAAUGGUGAGGUAAAAAGUUCAGGUUUUGAGGUAGAAAGUGCGGAUUUUGAGAUAAAAAUGCAGAUUUUGGGGUGAAAAAGGCAGAUUUUGGGGUGUGGGAGGAAAUGCUGAAGUACAAAAGUGCAGAUUUUGAGGUGAAAAGUGCAGAUUUGGAGUCUGAGGCAGACUUUGGGGUCUGGGGGGAGGUUUUGGGAGGAAAUGGUGAGGUAAAAAGUUCAGGUUUUGAGGUAGAAAGUGCGGAUUUUGAGAUAAAAAUGCAGAUUUUGGGGUGAAAAAGGCAGAUUUUGGGGUGUGGGAGGAAAUGCUGAAGUACAAAAGUGCAGAUUUUGAGGUGAAAAGUGCAGAUUUGGAGUCUGAGGCAGACUUUGGGGUCUGGGGGGAGGUUUUGGGAGGAAAUGGUGAGGUAAAAAGUUCAGGUUUUGAGGUAGAAAGUGCGGAUUUUGAGAUAAAAAUGCAGAUUUUGGGGUGAAAAAGGCAGAUUUUGGGGUGUGGGAGGAAAUGCUGAAGUACAAAAGUGCAGAUUUUGAGGUGAAAAGUGCAGAUUUGGAGUCUGAGGCAGACUUUGGGGUCUGGGGGGAGGUUUUGGGAGGAAAUGGUGAGGUAAAAAGUUCAGGUUUUGAGGUAGAAAGUGCGGAUUUUGAGAUAAAAAUGCAGAUUUUGGGGUGAAAAAGGCAGAUUUUGGGGUGUGGGAGGAAAUGCUGAAGUACAAAAGUGCAGAUUUUGAGGUGAAAAGUGCAGAUUUGGAGUCUGAGGCAGACUUUGGGGUCU